AGUGAACGCUGGCGGUAGGCCUAACACAUGCAAGUCGAACGGCAGCACAGUAAGAGCUUGCUCUUACGGGUGGCGAGUGGCGGACGGGUGAGGAAUACAUCGGAAUCUACUUUUUCGUGGGGGAUAACGUAGGGAAACUUACGCUAAUACCGCAUACGACCUACGGGUGAAAGCAGGGGAUCUUCGGACCUUGCGCGAUUGAAUGAGCCGAUGUCGGAUUGGCUAGUUGGCGGGGUAAAGGCCCACCAAGGCGACGAUCCGUAGCUGGUCUGAGAGGAUGAUCAGCCACACUGGAACUGAGACACGGUCCAGACUCCUACGGGAGGCAGCAGUGGGGAAUAUUGGACAAUGGGCGGAAGCCUGAUCCAGCCAUACCGCGUGGGUGAAGAAGGCCUUCGGGUUGUAAAGCCCUUUUGUUGGGAAAGAAAAGCAGCAGGUUAAUACCCCGCUGUUCUGACGGUACCCAAAGAAUAAGCACCGGCUAACUUCGUG
rnacentral:rRNA from 1 species